GACGGAGGUCCCUAGCGUUGUUCGGAAUUACUGGGCUUAAAGCGCGUGUAGGCGGAAGGGCAAGUACCUUGUGAAAUCCCCGGGCUCAACCCGGGAAUAGCUGGGUAUACUGCCUUUCUUGAGGCAGGUAGGGGUCACUGGAACCUUAGGUGGAGCGGUGAAAUGCGUAGAUAUCUAAGGGAACGCCUGUGGCGAAAGCGGGUGACUGGGCCUGUCCUGACGCUGAGACGCGAAAGCGUAGGGAGCAAAC
rnacentral:rRNA from 1 species